GGGGGAUAACAUUCGGAAACGGAUGCUAAUACCGCAUAGUUUCAGGAAUCGCAUGAUUCUUGAAGGAAAGGUGGCUUCGGCUACCACUAAUGGAUGGACCCGCGGCGUAUUAGCUAGUUGGUGAGGUAAUGGCUCACCAAGGCAAUGAUACGUAGCCGACCUGAGAGGGUGAUCGGCCACACUGGGACUGAGACACGGCCCAGACUCCUACGGGAGGCAGCAGUAGGGAAUCUUCCGCAAUGGACGAAAGUCUGACGGAGCAACGCCGCGUGAGUGAAGAAGGUUUUCGGAUCGUAAAACUCUGUUGUUAAAGAAGAACAAGGAUGAGAGUAACUGCUCAUCCCCUGACGGUAUUUAACCAGAAAGCCACGGCUAACUACGUGCCAGCAGCCGCGGUAAUACGUAGGUGGCAAGCGUUGUCCGGAUUUAUUGGGCGUAAAGCGAGCGC
rnacentral:rRNA from 1 species